rnacentral:rRNA from 1 species
ACGAACGCUGGCGGCGUGCUUAACACAUGCAAGUCGAACGGAAAGGCCCUGCUUUUGUGGGGUGCUCGAGUGGCGAACGGGUGAGUAACACGUGAGUAACCUGCCCUUGACUUUGGGAUAACUUCAGGAAACUGGGCCUAUUACGGAUUGGGACUUCCGGCGGCAUGGGGGGGGUGGGAAGGUUUCGGCGGUUGGGGAUGGAUUCGCGCCUUUUCAGCUGGUUGGGGGGGUGGUGGCUUACCAAGGUUUGGCCGGGUAGCCGGCCUGGGAGGGUGACCGGCCACAUUGGGACUGAGAUACGGCCCAGACGCCUACGGGAGGCAGCAGUGGAGAAUAUUGCACAAUGGGCGGAAGCCUGAUGCAGCAACGCCGCGUGCGGGAUGACGGCCUUCGGGUUGUAAACCGCUUUCGCCUGUGACGAAGCGUGAGUGACGGUAAUGGGUAAAGAAGCACCGGCUAACUACGUG